GAUGAACGCUGGCGGCGUGCCUAAUACAUGCAAGUCGAGCGAACAGACGAGGAGCUUGCUUCUCUGAUGUUAGCGGCGGACGGGUGAGUAACACGUGGAUAACCUACCUAUAAGACUGGGAUAACUUCGGGAAACCGGAGCUAAUACCGGAUAAUAUUUUGAACCGCAUGGUUCAAUAGUGAAAGACGGUCUUGCUGUCACUUAUAGAUGGAUCCGCGCUGCAUUAGCUAGUUGGUAAGGUAACGGCUUACCAAGGCAACGAUGCAUAGCCGACCUGAGAGGGUGAUCGGCCACACUGGAACUGAGACACCGUCCAGACUCCUACGGGAGGCAGCAGUAUGGAAUGUGCCGCAAUGGUCGAAAGCCUGACGGAGCAACGCCGCGUGAGUUAUGAAGGUCUUCGGAUCGUAAAACUCUGUUAUGAGGGAAGAACAGAUGUGUAAGUAACUGUGCACAUCUUGACGGUACCUAAUCAGAAAGCCACGGCUAACUACGUG
rnacentral:rRNA from 1 species